GCUGGGCACAGUGGUGCAUGCCUGUAGUUCCAGCUACUCGGGAGGCUGAGGUGGGAGGAUCGCUUGAGCCCAGGAGUUCUGGGCUGUAGUGCGCUAUGCCGAUUGGGUGUCUGCACUAAGUUCGGCAUCAGUAUGGUGACCUCCCGGGAGUGGGGGACCACCAGGUUGCCUGAGAAGGGGUGAACCGGCCCAGGUCAGAAACGGAGCAGGUCAAAACUCCCAGGCUGAUCGGUAGUGGGAUCGUGCCUGUGAAUAGUCACUGCACUCCAGCCUGGGCAGCAUAGCGAGACCCCGUCGCU
rnacentral:SRP_RNA from 1 species